rnacentral:rRNA from 1 species
AGAGCGAACGCUGGCGGCAGGCCUAAUACAUGCAAGUCGAACGAACACUUCGGUGUUAGUGGCGCACGGGUGCGUAACGCGUGGGAAUCUGCCCUUGGGUUCGGAAUAACAGUUGGAAACGACUGCUAAUACCGGAUGAUAUCGAAAGAUCAAAGAUUUAUCGCCCAGGGAUGAGCCCGCGUAGGAUUAGCUAGUUGGUGAGGUAAAGGCUCACCAAGGCGACGAUCCUUAGCUGGUCUGAGAGGAUGAUCAGCCACACUGGGACUGAGACACGGCCCAGACUCCUACGGGAGGCAGCAGUAGGGAAUAUUGGACAAUGGGCGCAAGCCUGAUCCAGCAAUGCCGCGUGAGUGAUGAAGGCCUUAGGGUUGUAAAGCUCUUUACCCGAGAUGAUAAUGACAGUAUCGGGAAGAAGUAACGCCCCGGACUAACCUCCGUUACGUCAGCGAGCCGAC